rnacentral:rRNA from 1 species
AUUGAACGCUGGCGGCAGGCCUAACACAUGCAAGUCGAGCGGAUGAGAAGAGCUUGCUCUUCGAUUCAGCGGCGGACGGGUGAGUAAUGCCUAGGAAUCUGCCUGGUAGUGGGGGACAACGUUUCGAAAGGAACGCUAAUACCGCAUACGUCCUACGGGAGAAAGCAGGGGACCUUCGGGUCUUGCGCUAUCAGAUGAGCCUAGGUCGGAUUAGCUAGUUGGUGAGGUAAUGGCUCACCAAGGCGACGAUCCGUAACUGGUCUGAGAGGAUGAUCACUCACACUGGAACUGAGACACGGUCCAGACUCCUACGGGAGGCAGCAGUGGGGAAUAUUGGACAAUGGGCGAAAGCCUGAUCCAGCCAUGCCGCGUGUGUGAAGAAGGUCUUCGGAUUGUAAAGCACUUUAAGUUGGGAGGAAGGGCAGUAAGUUAAUACCUUGCUGUUUUGACGUUACCGACAGAAUAAGCACCGGCUAACUACGUGCCAGCAGCCGCGGUAACAC